rnacentral:rRNA from 1 species
UUUAUGGAGAGUUUGAUCCUGGCUCAGGAUGAACGCUGGCGGCGUGCCUAAUACAUGCAAGUCGAGCGAACGGACGAGAAGCUUGCUUCUCUGAUGUUAGCGGCGGACGGGUGAGUAACACGUGGAUAACCUACCCAUAAGACUGGGAUAACUUCGGGAAACCGGAGCUAAUACCGGAUAAUAUUUUGAACCGCAUGGUUCAAAAGUGAAAGACGGUCUUACUGUCACUUAU